UACGGAGGGGGCUAGCGUUGUUCGGAAUUACUGGGCGUAAAGCGUACGUAGGCGGCUUUGUAAGUUAGAGGUGAAAGCCCGGGGCUCAACUCCGGAAUUGCCUUUAAGACUGCAUCGCUUGAAUCAUGGAGAGGUUAGUGGAAUUCCGAGUGUAGAGGUGAAAUUCGUAGAUAUUCGGAAGAACACCAGUGGCGAAGGCGACUAACUGGACAUGUAUUGACGCUGAGGUGCGAAAGCGUGGGGAGCAAACAGG
rnacentral:rRNA from 1 species